rnacentral:rRNA from 1 species
UACAGAGGGUGCGAGCGUUAAUCGGAAUUACUGGGCGUAAAGCGCGCGUAGGCGGCUUUUCGAGUCGAUUGUGAAAUCCCCGGGCUUAACCUGGGAACUGCAGUCGAGACUGUCUAGCUAGAGUAUGGGAGAGGGAAGUGGAAUUUCAGGUGUAGCAGUGAAAUGCGUAGAGAUGUGGAGGAACACCGAUGGCGAAGGCAGCCUCCUGGGCCAGCACUGACGCUCAUGCACGAAAGCGUGGGGAGCAAACAGG